rnacentral:rRNA from 1 species
AAACUGGGGUUAAUUCUCGAUGGGUGAGGAGGCCUGGAAUGGUUCUUCACUGAAAGGGCGCUAGAGGCAUGCUCUCUAACGUUGCCCAAGGAUGGGGCCGCGGCCGAUCAGGUUGUUGGUGAGGUAACGGCUUACCAAGCCUAUAACCGGUACGGGCCGUGAGAGCGGAAGCCCGGAGAUGGGCACUGAGAUAAGGGCCCAGGCCCUACGGGGCGCAGCAGUUACGAAAACUCCGCAAUGCACGAAAGUGUGACGGGGCUACCCCGAGUGCCGUCCGCUGAGGAUGGCUUUUCUCCGCUGUAAGGAGGCGGAGGAAUAAGGAGAGGGCAAGACUGGUGUCAGCCGCCGCGGUAAUACCAGCUCUCCGAGUGGUAGGGAUGAUUAUUGGGCUUAAAGCGUCCGUAGCCGGCCUAGCAAGUCUUCCGUUAAAUCCAGCAACCUAAUUGUUGGGCUGCGGGGGAUACUGUUAGGCUAGGGGGGCGGGAAAAGGCCGACGGUAUUCUCGGGGUAGGGGUGAAAUCUUAUAAUCCCGGGAAGAACCACCAGUGGCGAANGCUGUCGGCUAGCACGCGCCUGACGGUGANGGACGAAGCUGGGGGAACGAACCGGAUUAGAUACCCNGGGUAGUNCCUGCUGUAAACAAUGCNAGCUAGGGUGUNGGGGGCGGCUACAAACCCCNUUCANUGCCCCACCAAGGCNUUAAACUCCCCCCNGGGGAAUACGGCC